rnacentral:rRNA from 1 species
GAUGAACGCUGGCGGCGUGCCUAAUACAUGCAAGUCGAGCGAACAGACGAGGAGCUUGCUCCUCUGACGUUAGCGGCGGACGGGUGAGUAACACGUGGAUAACCUACCUAUAAGACUGGGAUAACUUCGGGAAACCGGAGCUAACACCGGAUAAUAUAUUGAACCGCAUGGUUCAAUAGUGAAAGACGGUUUUGCUGUCACUUAUAGAUGGAUCCGCGCCGCAUUAGCUAGUUGGUAAGGUAACGGCUUACCAAGGCAGCGAUGCGUAGCCGACCUGAGAGGGUGAUCGGCCACACUGGAACUGAGACACGGUCCAGACUCCUACGGGAGGCAGCAGUAGGGAAUCUUCCGCAAUGGGCGAAAGCCUGACGGAGCAACGCCGCGUGAGUGAUGAAGGUCUUCGGAUCGUAAAACUCUGUUAUUAGGGAAGAACAAAUGUGUAAGUAACUAUGCACGUCUUGACGGUACCUAAUCAGAAAGCCACGGCUAACUACGUG